rnacentral:rRNA from 1 species
UUUAUGGAGAGUUUGAUCCUGGCUCAGAGUGAACGCUGGCGGCGUGCCUAAUACAUGCAAGUCGAACGAUGAAGCUUCUAGCUUGCUAGAAGUGGAUUAGUGGCGCACGGGUGAGUAAGGUAUAGUUAAUCUGCCCUACACAAGAGGACAACAGUUGGAAACGACUGCUAAUACUCUAUACUCCUGCUUAACACAAGUUGAGUAGGGAAAGUUUUUCGGUGUAGGAUGAGACUAUAUAGUAUCAGCUAGUUGGUAAGGUAAUGGCUUACCAAGGCUAUGACG